GCCCGGGUGGCGAAAUUGGUAUACGCAGGAGACUUAAAAUCUCCCGACCGCAAGGUCGUACCGGUUCGACUCCGGUCCCGGGCACCA
rnacentral:tRNA from 1 species